GGCCGAUUAGGUUGUUGUUGAUGUAAUGGAUCAACAAGCCUCCGAUCGGUAUGGGUUGUGAGAGCAAUAUCCCAGAGAUGGGUUCUGAGAGAAGAACCCAGGUCCUACGGGACGCAUCAGGCGCGAAAACUUUACAAUGUGCGAAAGCACGAUAAGGGAACUCUGAGUGCCUCCAAAGGAGGCUGUUCAGGUGUCUAAAAAGCAUCUGAAGUAAGGGCUGGGCAAGACCGGUGCCAGCCGCCGCGGUAACACCGGCAGCCCAAGUGGUGGCCACUUUUACUGGGUCUAAAGCGUUCGUAGCCGGCCAUGUAAGUUCCUUGGGAAAUUUGACCGCUUAACGGUUAAGCUUCCAGGGAAUACUGCUUGGCUUGGGACCGGGAGAGGUCAGAGGUACCUCAAGGGUAGGGGUGAAAUCCGUUAAUCCUUGGGGGACCGCCAGUAGCGAAGGCGUCUGACCAGACCGGAUCCGACGGUGAGGGACGAAGGCUAGGGUAGCGAACCGGAUUAGAUACCCGGGUAGUCCUAGCUGUAAACGAUGCGGGCUAGGUGUUGGCAUUACUGCGAGUGAUGCCAGUGCCGAAGGGAAGCCGUUAAGCCCGCCAUCUGGGGAGUACGGUCGCAAGGCUGAAAC
rnacentral:rRNA from 1 species